AAUGCUUCUUGCCUGACCUGCAGGUACAGCUCUGGCCUUUGGAUCUGGGAAUGAUGAUUAUGAUGGUACUGGCCCAGCAGGUCGCGAAAGCCAUGGACCGGCUGCUGGAACCGCUCAUACACUGUCUCCAGAGGCAGGCAAACAGCUCGGAGUGGGCUCUCCACAGUCACGUGUGUCGCUGCCUCAGUGUCUGCCGAGGCCAGCAAGAAGGGGACAGUGUAGACCUGCUCAGACAGCACCCGCUCGCUCUCGCUCCUGCAAGUGGAAAAUGCAGCACUGGGAUGUGGCCAACACAGAGGAACUCUGUGCUCCUAAGGCUGACCCGAGGGUAGAGACUAGGGCUUUUAACUGAGCCACUUUCUGCUUCUCAAGUGGACCCAGAGGAUGGGGGUUUGGACCUGUCAGUGCAAGCCCACCUCCGCUCUCCCCUCCCGCCACUCACCAGUUCCGGGCCAAGCUGUUCCAGAUCAGCCGAUGCUCCUUCACAAGCAGUUUCUGGAUCACACCCUGCAGCCCUUCAUGGUAGUGGCUGGUCAGCACAGCCUUGGCUGGCAGCACUAUGCCUAAGGACCAAGAGAUGCAUCAUGGGUAAAGGAGGAGAGCACAGUGUUUGUCCCUGGUGUGUGGCCACAGGAUCUCCUUACCUUCCAGGGCAACGUAAGGCAGGCAUCUCCCAUCAGCUGCAGA